AUACUUACCUGGCGUAGAGACACCGUGAUCAUGCAGGCGGUUCCCCCGGGGUGAGGCUCCUCUAUUGCACUUCGGAGUAGACUUGCGCAAAACAUCACUUGCCAAUGUAAUGUGAUAUGAAAUCACUUUUACAGACAGGUGAUAUUACUCGAAAACAUUACA